rnacentral:sRNA from 1 species
CGGUACUGCCCUUCCAGGGCGUUUCCUCCCUAGACUUCGGGCCGCUCGCAAGGGCGGCCUUUUUGUAUCUGGCAU